CGCGCGCCUGCGCACCACACUAGUAGACACAACGUGACGGCGCGGGGAGUACGCAUGCGCUGAACCGCCUCUCUCGCCCCCGCCCCUCCCUCCGUCAGCCCGCGGUGGCCGUGGUUUACAGGAAACGAAGACGUUUAGAGGACAUCAUGAGGAAAUGAUAAAGCCAAUCCAGAAUAGGACACUGGGUUCAACCUUUAAAAACCUAAAGCGAAGAACAACGGGGCGGAGGACACCUUGUGGGUGGCAGAGUCUGCAGAGACCCGUGCGACAGCGCCGCCCUGUCCGAUCCACGUGCUCUUCCCAUCGAGGGGUGGACUGGCCACCAUGGCUGCAGCCUGGGCCUCGGGCUUCCAUUUUCACUCUUGAAACCCAGCUGACACCCCACCCUACUGAGCGGCCAGUCAUUGGAGGAGCUGCCCCCGCCAAUACAUGGCACAGGAUCAGCUACCCCGCCCAACGCCCCCCCCCC